rnacentral:SRP_RNA from 1 species
GCUGGGCGUGGUGGCGCACACCUGUAAUCCCAGCUACUCAGGAGGCUAAGGCAGGAGAAUCGCUUGAACCCAGGGGGUGGAGGUUGCAGUGAGCUGAGAUCACACUACUGCACUCCAGCCUGGGUGACAGAGCGAGACCCCGUCUAAA